ACUCCUACGGGAGGCAGCAGUGGGGAAUGAUUGCGACAAUGGGCGCAAGCCUGAUGCAGCCAUGCCGCGUGUAUGAAGAAGGCCUUCGGGUUGUAAAAGUACUUUCAGCAGUGAGGAAGGUGGGUAUGUUAAUAGCAUACUCAUUUGACGUUAGCUGCAGAAGAAGCACCGGCUAACUCCGUGCCAGCAGCCGCGGUAAUACGGAGGGUGCGAGCGUUAAUCGGAA
rnacentral:rRNA from 1 species